rnacentral:lncRNA from 12 species
CUUCCAUCCGCGCACUCUUUGCCCAAAGCAGUGGGUCAGUGCCACUUAGCUCUGGGGAAUGUUGGAAAUGAGGUCAAAUAAUAAUGGUCACAUUUUAAAACCUUAAAAUGCAAAGUUGGAAAAACACUGCAGCAAUCUUGUUCUAAAAGGACUCCCUGGCCACAUUUUCCAUCGGUUUUUCCUCUACUUUCCUGCAGACAGACCUCGGCUGGAUCAAAAGAUAUUGACCAAGGUCGUAGCAGAACAGGAAAGGAGUUCAGAACUAUGGCUAUUGAUGUUUUUGUUAGUCUGUUUCGAUGUCUAUACCCUGACUUCUUUGAGCCCUGGACGAAUUCUGGAGGCCUUAUAGUGAUGUGAGUCACCACCCCAAACGCCGCGAUGACAUAAACUGUGGCUGGGUUUUGAUGAAUUCCUGGGGCAGCUGAGAGCAGGAAGACAAGAAGUAGCACUCGAUGGGGGCCCAGACUUCCUUCAGUUGACUCUGAUGGAAACCAACCACACCACUUUUGAGGACCCCUCCUGCAACACUGGCUAAAUUGAAACCACCCUGAACUAGGGCAGGGCAGCUGUGGAAUACAGAUCUGAGAAACAGAUUCAGCAUAACCUCCAGGCCAGGAUGGACGAGACCAUCGCCUGCAGCUGCAGGGACUAGGAGGUCAGGAGUGGAAAGGCCCUCUGAAUUGGGGGCCACCGCCUUGGGAGAAGAAGAUGAGAGACAGAAGAUGCGAGUUGGGCACCUGGGUGACUCAGUGGUUGAGCGUCUGCCUUUGGCUCAGGGCAUGAUCCCAGAAUCCCGGGAUCGAGUCCCAUAUCCGGCUCCUUGCAUGGACCCUGCUUCUCCCUCUGCCUGUGUCUCUGCUCUCUCUCUGCAUCUCAUGAAUAAAUAAAUAAAAUCUUAAAAAAAUAAAGAAGAUGCAAGUCAAUAAUACCUAGCUAAC